AUUUGGGGGAAUGAAGUUAUAUAUUAAUAUAUAAAUAUAUACGCAUCGACUAUGUCGUAUAAAGUUCUAAAUAGAAGAUUGAUUAUGACAGAUUUCUAUUUAUGUGUCUCGACCAAUUCUUGUGCCAGCAGUCGCGGCAACACAAGUGAGACUAGUGUUAUUCAUCUUUAUUAGGUUUAAAGGGUACCUAGACGGUAAUUUCAGCCUGUAUAAGGUACAAAAAUACUAGAGUUUUAUUUGAGAGGUAAAUAUUAGGACUAUUGGUGUAAAGAUGAAAUUUUUUGAUACUAAUGGGACGUAUAACGGCGAAGGCAACCCUCUAUCUAUAAACUGACGUUAAGGGACGAAGGCUUGGGGAGCGAAUAGGAUUAGAUACCCUAGUAGUCCAGGCAGAAAAUUAUGAAUGUUAUAGACUAAAAAUAAUUGGUGUAUAAAUGAAAGUGUAAGCAUUCCACCUCAAGAGUAAUGUGGCAACGCUGGAACUGAAAUCAU
rnacentral:rRNA from 1 species